AACAGGCCAUCUAAGUUACUGUAUGUAACGUGUUAAUUCACUGACUAUAAGGAUGUAUAAACAUACCGUUUAUGUUGCAGCGUUAUCAUACAGAAACCUACGUCAGGUCACAUGGGAAAACGUUUUUGGAAGGGUUUGGGAAAAUAGCCUUUUGAUGCUAAAACAUAUGCAUUUGACCAAAAUUUUUUAAUGUUCAUAUUUGAAUACAAGGAACUGGGAAGCUGCAGAAUGAUAUAAAAACCUAAAAUAAAUAAAUAAAUAAAUGAAUAAUGGACCCAUCCUUUAAGACGCAAAAACAAAAAUCCACCAUAUUAUGCUUGGAGUUGGAGGGGGCACCGUCACAGUGUAGGUCUGUGUUACUACAUCUUGGAAACCACCAUUUUAGAAAGGAUACAUAUUAGAAGCACACACUGUAAUGUUUUUGAAGUGGGGAUUAAAUCCAUAGCCGCAGCCUUCAACAUGACAUAAACCUGCUCACACCUCCAGAUCAAUUCAAUAAAUGGCCCUAAGCAUGCCUAAGCAGAACAUAUCUUCAAAAUCCCUGCCACAGUCCCAUCUAACAUGGCACAGUCACAUUGUCAAACAUGGCGGAUCAGCCCGCUAAGCUUCCAAAUCAUGACACAGCGGAUUCAGACUUUUAAUAUGACACAGCGUGUUUACACUGCAGCAGAGCACAGAGAGAGACGAAGGGAGGGGAGAGGGAGGGGGGGCUCACCAGUGAACUGAAGAUGGCAUUUUAAUUAGAUCAGGGAGCGUACGCGGAAAGAGCGAGGCUGGAAGAGAAGGAGAAGGAAAGAGAUAAGAGGCAAAGAGGAGAAGACAGGAGCGGGAGGAGAGGAAAGAGAAGGGGGGAUGCUUUCAUGUGCAUCUUACCCUGUUACCCCUUGGCCAUAUAAUUAGUAGGAAAAACAUCUCCUUUCAUAGCUACGCCAGUGAUAAUCAGCUGUAUCGCUGUAUUAAACCAAACAGGUUGGCUGCAUUACAUGACUGUCAUACCCAUGCCAAAGACAUGAACGCAUCCUUUAGUUGAAAUCAGACAAAAGCUAACCGAAAUAUUCAUUUCCCCCAAAAAGUAUGCCUUUAUAUAUAUGAAUUAAAAGGAAAUUAAUUAACUUAAUUGAGUGAAAAUAAGUUAAUUCACUUUCCAAAAUAGAAAGUGUAUAGGCUAACUCAGAGAACCAUGCAGAGAACCAUCAGAAACAUUUAGGUUUGUUGUUUUUAUGUAAUUUUUGGCACAAGAAGAAAGUUUGUAACUGUUUGUUGGAAGCUCGUUGUGGCACAACCCCCCCAUCUUUGAUCAGUUAAACAUGUGACAGGUGGUGUUUGUUCCAAUACGGAAAAUAUACAGCCCAGAAAGUAUAUUUUUAAAGACAUAAAAUAAAAUAUUACUCCAAUGUUAUGUCAUAAUUAUGGCCAAACUGUAUAUAGAUCUGCUGAAAGUAAGUACGAUGUUACUUUGGGUGAUAGAUAUACAAAGAGUAAUGCAGUUUUAAUUUAUGUAGAUGAACAGAUUAAAAAACGCUUCUCUCUUUACGAGGGGGAAACAUAAAUGGAGGAAAAGUCAAAUUGGGAGGGACAAAAACAAAUACAAAUGCAAAAACAAGUGGGAUUAAAAUUGUAUAAUAUAUAGCAUCAAUACCUUUGAUUUAUCCUCACUCACGCAAACAGACUUAGACCGCAAUUAUAAACAGCCAAUCUGUUUCUUUAGUGUCUUUAUCAUGAAAGAGAAAGAUGGAGAAAGAGAAAAGGUGUCUAGGAAGCAGUUUGAGUUUUGCUCUUUCCUCGUCCAUGUGACACUUUUCUUCACAUUCAUCCAUUUAUAUAUCUCUCCAUCUAUGCCUCCAUCCUUACUUCUAGCUUUUCCCUCCUUCUUCUUAUUCUAAAGUGUUCCGCCCUUAUAACCCCAGCCCUUAGCUAACAAGCUCAUUAUUUGGACAAAAGAAAAACAAAGACAGAUGGAAUAAGUGAGAGAUUGUAUAAGUAUGAGUGUAAGACAAACAGUGUUGAGAAAGGAGAUACUGAAGAAUCUGUAGAAAACACCUGAGUUCAGUUAAAGACGGAGAGAGAGUUACACGGAAAGUGUGAAAGAAGAAAGAUGGAAAAGAAGUCACAGUGACAGGAAGUUGAAAGCAAAGAUAAAAACAGAAAUGUCCAUAUACGGUCGCCGGUGUCGCUCGAGUUGCCUGGCAACCCAAAAGUUUGGCUUGAAUCUCACUUGCCAAGUCAUUAUUGCUGUGAAACAAUCAGCAUCCUUUUAUAACUACAGUGAAGUCAGAUAGAAGAGAGAUAGAAAGAGAGAGAGAGAGAGAGAGAGAGAGAGAGAGAGAGAGAGAUUUACCAGGAAGCAGCUCCAUGCCGCUUCAAAGACGAGAGGCGGUAGCUCGUUAAAACAGACCACAGACAGGACACGGACAGUGUUUGCACAAUCUAUUUAUGUUCCAGCACAUCUGAGGUCCUGCAUGUAUGCUCCAUGUACUGUGUGUGGCGCUGCUGUAUGCACACCACGUCAAUGCAUCUGCAGCCGUUGACUUACUGUAAAAGGACUGUUCAUUAACUAAAAGGUUUAGCGGCUCGCCUCACCUUAAUGGUGGACAUCAUCGUUACGGUAUUUCAUAAUAAGCACAAAUCAGUCAUGUUUUUUUUUUUUAUUGAGCAAAUGAAUGCAUGCCUGUGUUAUACUCCCCUGCUUUUGAAGUUAAAGGCUGCGUGGGCACUUUAAAGCCUUUUUAGAUGAAGUAAAAUAUAUUAUUCACAGCAGCCAAUGAGACAAGAGCGCAUUUGCUGUGUGUGUGUUUGUGUGUGUCUGUGUGUGUUUUGAACUCACUGCUCUACAAACUCGACGCCAGCGAAAGGAUUAACAGCUCUGGCAGAAAGGUAAUGGGCGGCCACCUCUACAUGCCCCUGUGUGUCUGCUCCAGAGAAAGAAAGAGUAUAUGUGUGUGUGACAGCUAAAGUGCUAUUCAACAGGUGUGUGUGCUGCAGUCAGCAAUAACAGAGAUUUAACUACGAGGUAUACAAAUGGUCACAAAACGAAUCAUGCCGGUGGCUUAAAAAAAUUACAAUUAUUAGUACUAUACAUACUCGAUGUUCGCGAUAAAGUAAUUUGCUUUGCAUCCCACGUAGAACAAGCCACAAUACAUCGAGUUUAUUCGCCAUAUCGCCAACCAAUAACCACGACAUCUCUGGUCACAAGUCAAGUUCUGAUCCCACUUUGAUUGUGUUAAAUUAUUUUUUUGAGUGUUUGUUUAAACCUGCUUGGAAUGCCACAUCUGUGAGCUUAGCAAUUAGUCUCUCUUGAGAUAAUCACAGUAAAGAAAUG